rnacentral:tRNA from 1 species
GAAGGUAUAGCUCAGUGGUAGAGUGCAUGCCUAGCAUGCACAAGGUCCUAGGUUCAAUCCCCAGUCCCUCCA